UCCCGUCAAGCCCAGAGGCGUCCUGGCUUCCGGUUUGGGUGUGGUCGUGGAGUGGGUUUUGCUGCAGGUGAUUGCAGGGAAUGGAAUGUUGCGGCUGGCGUCUGGCAGAUGUAAACCGAACCAAAACACUGAAGAUUGUCAUGGGAUUGUUAUCUGCAAUGGACUUGGAGACCUUAUGAAGGUAUUCCUGGGAACUACAUCUAUUGGGGCAAGCAAUUGUAGAGGAACCAGCUAUCAGUGAAUAUGUGAUUUGUGGAUUAUGUAUUUAGAAAGAUCAGAAGAUAGAAAAAAAUCCCUGAUAUUAAAAGAGAAGGAGGUGUCAUUGCCAUUGUGGGAGGCAGUGUAAGCUUGGCACAUGGAAGAAACACAUGCAUUGGAACUGGUGUCAGAAUCCUAGUUGGCAUUAAGGACAUUGAAGGACGAGGACAAGAUGGCAGAGUAGAAGAACGUGAGCUCACCUCUUCUUACAGAAACACCAAAAUCACAACUAACUGCUGAACAAAACAUGCUGGGACCUACCCCCAAAGAUACCCUACAUCCAAAGACAAAGAAGAAGACUCAAUGAGAUGGUAGGAGGGGCUCAGUCGUGAUAAAAACAAAUCCCAUAUAUGCUGGGUUGGCAGCCCACAAAUUGGACAGUAAUUAUACCACAGAAGUUCUCCCAAAGGAGUGAAAGUUUUGAGCCCCAUGUAUGGCUCCCCAGCCUGGGGGUCAGGCAAUGGAAAGAGGAGCUCCCGGAAAUUGAGACUGUGAUUAAAAAUCUUCUACCAAACAAAGGCCCAGGACCAGAUGGCUUCACAGGAGAAUUCGAUAAACAUUUAGAGAAGAGCUAACACCUAUCCUUCUCAAACUCUUCCAAAAUAUAGCAGAGGGAGGAACACUCCCAAACUCAUUCUGCAAGGCCACCAUCACCCUGAUACCACAACCGGAUGAAGAUGUCACAAAGAAAGAAAACUACAGGCCAAUAUCCCUGAGGAACAUAGAGUAAAAAUCCUUAACAAAACACUAGCAAACAGAAUCCAACAGCAAAUUAUAAGGAUCAUACACCAUGAUCAAGUGGGGUUUAUCCCAGGAAUGCAAGGAUUCUUCAAUAUAUGCAAAUCAAUCAAUGUGAUACACCAUAUUAACAAAUUGAAAGAGGAAAACCAUAUGAUCAUCUCAGUAGAUGCAGUAAAAGCUUUUGACAAAAUUCAACAUCCAUUUAUGAUAAAAACCCUCCAGAAAGUAGGCAUCGAGGGUACUUACCUCAACAUAAUAAAGGCCAUAUAUGAAAAACCCACAGCCAACAUCUUUCUCAAUAUUGAAAAACUGAAACCAUUUCCUCUAAGAUCAGGAACAAAACAAGGUUGCCCACUCUCAACACUAUUAUUCAACAUAGCUUUGGAAGUUUUAGCCACAGCAAUCAGAGAAGAAAAAGAAAUAAAAGUAAUCCAAAUCGGAAAAGAACAAGUAAAGGUGUAACUGUUUGCAGAUGACAUGAUACUUUACAUAGAGAAUCCUAAAGAUGCUACCAGAAAACUACUAGAGCUAAUCAAUGAACUUGGUAAAGUAGCAGGAUACAAAAUUAAUGCACAGAAGUAUCUUGCAUUCCUAUACUUUAAUGAUGAAAAAUCUGAAAGAGAAAUUAAGGAAACACUUCUCUUUACCGUUGCAAGAAAAAUAAUAAAAUACCCAGGAAUAGGCCUACCUAAGGAGACAGAAGACCUGUAUGCAGAAAACUAUAAGACACUGAUGAAAGAAAUUACAGAUGAUACAAACAGAUGGAGAGAUAUACCAUGUUCCUGGAUUGGAAGAAUCAAUAUUAUGAAAAUGACUAUACCACACAAAGCAAUCUACAGAUUCAAUGCCAUCCCUAUGAAACUACCAAUGGCAUUUUUCACAGAACGAGAACAAAAAAUUUCACAAUUUGUAUGGAGACACAAAAGACCCCGAAUAGCCAAAGAAGUCUUGAAGGAAAAAAGCGGAGGUGGAGGAAUCAGACUCCCUGACUUCAGACUUUACUACAAAGCUACAGUAAUCAAGACAAUAUGGUACUGGCACAGAAACAGAAAUAUAGAUCAAUGGAAAAGGAUAGAAAGCCCAGAGAUAAACCCAUGCACCUAUGGUCAACUAACCUAUGACAAAGGAGGCAAGGAUAUACAAUGGAGAAGAGACAGUCUCUUCAAUAAGUGAUGCUGGGAGAUCUGGACAGUUACAUGUAAAAGAAUGACAUUGGAACGCUCCCUAACACCAUACAGAAAAAUAAAUUCAAAAUGGAUUAGAGACCUAAAUGUAAGACCUGACACUAUAAAACUCUUAGAGGAAAACAUAGGAAGAACACUCUUUGACAUAAACCACAGCAAGAUCUUUUUGGAUCCACCUCCUAGAGUAAUGGAAAUAAAAGCAAAAAUAAACAAAUGGGACCUAAUGAAACUUAAAAGCUUUUGCCCAGCAAAGGAAACCAUAAACAAUAAGAAAAGACAACACUCAGAAUUGGAGAAAAUAUUUACAAAUGAAGCAACUGACAAAGGAUUAAUCUCCAAAAUUUAUAAGCAGCUCAUGCAGCUCAAUAUCAAUGAAACAAAUAACCCAAUCCAAAAAUGGGCAGAAGACCUAAAUAGACAUUUCUUCAAAGAAGAUAUACGGAUUGCCAACAAACACAUGAAAGGAUGCUCAACAUCACCAAUCAUUAGAGAAAUGCAAAUCAAAACUACAAUGAGGUAUCACCUCACAGCAGUCAGAAUGGCCAUCAUCAAAAAACCUACAAACAAUAAAUGCUGGAGAGGGUGUGGAGAAAAGGGAAACCUCUUGCAUUGUUGGUGGGAAUGUAAAUUGAUACAGCCACUAUGUAGAACACUGUGGAGGUUCCUUAAAAAACUAAAAAUAGAACUACCAUGUGACCCAGCAAUCCCACUACUGGGCAUAUACCGUUAGAAAACUAUAAUUCAAAAAGAGUCAUGUACCACAAUGUUCAUUGCAGCUCUAUUUACAAUAGCCAGGACAUGGAAGCAACCUAAGAGUCCAUCGACAGAUGAAUGGAUAAAGAAGAUGUGGCACAUAUAUACAAUGGAAUAUUACUCAACCAUAAGGAGAAAUGAAAUCGAGUUUUUGUAGUGAGGUGGAUGGACCUAGAGUCUGUCAUACAGAGUGACGUAAGUCAGAAAGAGAAAAACAAAUACUGUAUGCUAACACAUAUAUAUGGAAUCUAAGAAAAAAAAUGAUUCUGAUGAACCUAAGGGUAGGACAGGAAUAAAGAUGAAGAUGUAGAGAAUGGACUUGAGGACAUGGGGUAUGGGAAGGGUAAGCUGGGACGAAGUGAGAGAGUGGCAUGGACAUAUAUAUGCUACCAAAUGUAAAAUAGAUAGCUAGUGGGAAGCAGCUGUAUAGCACAGGGAUAUCUGCUUGGUGCUUUGUGACCACCUAGAGCGGUGGGAUAGGGAGUGUGGGAGGGAGACGCAAGAGGGAGGAAAUAUGGGGAGACAUGUAUAUGUAUAACUGAUUCACUUUGUUAUGUAGCAGAAACUAACACGCCAAUGUAAAGCAAUUAUACUCUAAUAAACAUGUUAAAAAAUUAAUACACAGAAAUCUGUUGAAUUUCUAUAAACUAACAAUGAAAUUUCAGAAAGAGAAAUUAAAGAAAGAAUCCCAUUUACCAUAGCAUAAAAAAGAAUAAAAUACCUAGGAAUAAACCUACCUAAAGAGGCAAAAAAACUGUACUCUGAAAACUAUUAGACACUGCUGAAACGAAUCAAAGAUGACACAAACAGAUGGACAGAUAUACCGUGUUCUUGGACUGGAAGAAUCAGUAUAGUCAAAAUGACUCUACUACCCAAGGCAAUCUACAGAUUCAGUGCAAUCCCUAUCAAUGUACCAAUGGCAUUUUUCACAGAACUAGAACAAAAAAUUUUAAAAUUUGUAUGGAAAACAAAAAUACCCAGAAUAACCAAAACAAUCUUGAGAAAGAAAAACAGAGCUGGAGGAAUCAGGCUCCCUGACUUAAGAGUAUUCUACAAAGGUACAGUAAUCAAAACCUGGUAUGGGAACAAAAACAGACAUAUAGAUCAAUGGAACAGGAUAGAAAGGCCAAAAAUAAACCCACACACCUUUGGUCAGUUAAUCUAUGACAAAGGAGGCAAGAGUAUACAGUGGAGAAAAGUUAGUCUCUUCAAUAAGUGGUGCUGGGAAAAUUGGACCGCCACAUGUGAAAGAAUGAACUCAGAACAUUCUCUAACACUAUACACAAAAAUAAACUCAAAAUGGAUUACAUACCUAAAUGUAAGGCCAGAUACUUUAAAACUCCUAGAGGAAAACAUAGGCAGAACACUCUUUUAUGUAAAUCACAGCAAUAUCUUUUUCAGUCCAUCUCCUAGAGUAAUGUAAAUAAAAACAAAAUAACCAAAUGGGACCUAAAUAACUCAAAGGCUUUUGCACAGCAAAGGAAACCAUAAACAAAAUGAAAAGACAAACCUCAGAAUGGGAGAAAAUUUUUGCAAAUGAUGCAACCAACAAGGGAUUAAUCUCUAAAAUUUACAAGCAGCUCAUGUGGCUCAACAUCAAAAAAACAAAUGACCCCUCACAAACUGGUCAGAAUACCUAAAUAAACAUUUCUCCAAAGAAGACAUACAGAUAGCCAUGAGGCACAUGAAAAGAUGCUCAACAUGGCUAAUUAUCAGAGAAAUGCAAAUCAGAACUACAAUGAAAUAUCACCUCACACCAGUCAGAAUGGCCAUCAUCAGUCUACAAAUAAUAAAUGCUGGAGAGGGUGUGGAGAAAAGGGAACCCUCUUGCACUGCUGGUGGGAAUGUAAAUGUAAACAGCCACUAUGGAGAAGAGUAUGGAGGUUCCUUAGAAAACUAAAAAUAGAACUACCAUAUGAUCCAGCAGUCCCACUCCUGGGCAUAUAUCCAGAGAAAAACAUGGUUCAAAAGGAUACAUGCACCCCGAUAUUCAUUGCAGUGCUGUUUACAAUAGCCAAGACAUGGAAGCUACCUAAAUGUCCAUCGACAGAUGAAUGGAUAAAGAAGAUGUGGUACAUAUGUACAGUGGAAUAUUAGCCAUUAAAAAAAUAAAAUAAUGCCAUUUGCAGCAACAUGGAUGGACCUGGAGAUUAUCAUACUAAGUGAAGUAAGUCAGACAGAGAAAGACAAAUAUCAUAUGAUAUUGCUUAUAUGUGGAUUCUAAAAAAACCUGAAACAAUUGAAGUUAUCUACAAAAUAGAAACAGACUCACAAACUUAGAGAACAACCUUAUGGUUAUCAUAGUGGAGGGGUAGGGGGAAGGGAUAGAUUGGGAGUUUGGGAUUGACAUGUACACACUGCUGUAUUUAAAAUAGAUAUUCCCUAACACCAUACACAAAAAUAAAUUCAAAAUGGAUUAAAGACCUAAAUGUGAGUGGACAAUAUAAAGCUCUUAGAGGAAAAUUAGGAAGAACACUCUUUGACAUAAAUUACAGCAAGAUCUUUUUUGGCCCACCUCCUAGAGUAAUGAAAAUAAAAACAAAAAUAUACAAAUGGGACCUAAUGAAACUUAAAAGCUUUUGCACAGCAAAGGAAACAAUAGACAAGACCAAAAGACAACCCUCAGAAUGGGAGAAAAUAUUUGCAAAUGAAGCAACUGACAAGGGAUUAAUCUCCAAAAUAUACAAACAGCUCAUGCAGCUCAAUAUCAGAAAACGAACAACCCAAUCAAAAAAUGAGAGGAAGACCCAAACAGACAUUUCUCCAAAGAAGACAUACAGAUGACCAAGAGGCACAUGAAAAAGAUGCUCAAUGUCACUAAUUAUUAGAGAAAUGCUAAUCAAAACUACAAUGAGGUAUCACCUCACAUUGGUCAGAAUUGCCAUCAUCAAAAAAAUCUACAAACAAUAAGUGCUGGAGAGGGUGUGGAGAAAAGGGAACCCCCUUGCACUAUUGGUGGGAAUGUAAAUUGAUAGAGCCACUAUGGAGAACAGUGGAGGUUCCUUAAAAACUAAAAAUAGAAGUACCAUGUGACCCAGCAAUCCCACUACUGGGCAUAUACCCUGAGAAAGCCAUAAUUUUAAAAGACACAAGCACCCCAAUGUUUAUUGCAGCACUAUUUAUAAUAGCCAGGACAUGAAAGCAACCUAAAUGUCCAUUGACAGAUGAAUGGAUAAAGAAGAUAUAGUAUAUAUAUAUAUAUAUAUAUAUA